UACAGAGGGUGCAAGCGUUGUUCGGAUUCAUUGGGCGUAAAGGGUGUGUAGGUGGCGCGCUAAGUCGGGUGUGAAAUCUCGGGGCUUAACUCCGAAACUGCAUUCGAUACUGCCGUGCUUGAGGACUGGAGAGGAGACUGGAAUUUACGGUGUAGCGGUGAAAUGCGUAGAUAUCGUAAGGAAGACCAGUGGCGAAGGCGGGUCUCUGGACAGUUCCUGACGCUGAGGCACGAAGGCCAGGGGAGCAAACGGG
rnacentral:rRNA from 1 species